rnacentral:lncRNA from 1 species
UUUAACAAGAAAAAAAAAAAAAUACAUAAACAAUCUUAAAUCUUCACCUUCUCCCCCUUCUUCUCCUACACUCUCGUCGCCCAUCAAUUUCGACGACAGUAAGGAGAAAAUUGAGAUGGGUGUAGAUGGAGAGGUGGAAAAGGGCGAAGGCAAAGGCGAUGCGGCAGAGAAGGGCGAGGGAAUGUUUGUGGGCACGAACGGAGAUGUGGGCGAGAGUGAGGCAGCGGAGGAGGGCGAGGCAACAGGAGAGGAGGCUGAGAAUAUUUUUGGUAUAAAAAAAUAUAAUAAUAUUUUAUAAACGGAACCUUAACAGAGCAACUAACGGUAGGGGGUGAAAUAAAUAAUUUUCUCAUUUUAUGAAAGGACAAAAUAUAAAUUUUUAAAUGAUGAAAGAAAAGUAAAAAAAUAAAUAUUAGAAUGAAAAUUUUCUGUAAUUUAGUCAAAUAAAAUAAAUAUAAAACAUACACUCUACUCU